AUUGAACGCUGGCGGCAGGCCUAACACAUGCAAGUCGAACGGUAGCACAGAGAGCUUGCUCUUGGGUGACGAGUGGCGGACGGGUGAGUAAUGUCUGGGAAACUGCCCGAUGGAGGGGGAUAACUACUGGAAACGGUAGCUAAUACCGCAUAAUGUCGCAAGACCAAAGUGGGGGACCUUCGGGCCUCACACCAUCGGAUGUGCCCAGAUGGGAUUAGCUAGUUGGUGAGGUAAUGGCUCACCAAGGCGACGAUCCCUAGCUGGUCUGAGAGGAUGCCCAGCCUCACUGGAACUGAGACACGGUCCAGAAUCCUACGGGAGGCAGCAGUGGGGAAUAUUGCACAAUGGGCGCAAGCCUGACUCAGCCAUGCCGCGUGUAUGAAGAAGGCCUUCGGGUUGUAAAGUACUUUCAGCGAGGAGGAAGGCAUUAAGGUUAAUAACCUUAGUGAUUGACGUUACUCGCAGAAGAAGCACCGGCUAACUCCGUGCCAGCCGCCGCAGUAACAC
rnacentral:rRNA from 1 species